CCCCGGCCGGAGGAGCCCCCGGUCCCGGCAGCGCCGCCGCCCAAGCUCCGGUGCCGCCGGCGCUGCCCGGUCCGGCCCGUCCUGCCGGGACUGCGUGGAUCCAGAUGCUCCCUCCAGCCUCUCUUUUUCUGCUCCUUCUGCUCCUCCUCCUCCGAUCCCACCAGCGCUGCCUCCCCCUCUCCCUUUAAUCGACGUUUCCGCUGAAAUGUACCCGGUUCCACGCAUUUCUUUGAUCUCACUAAGGGAAGAAGGGGGCUAUAGAAGAAAUUAAAUCGGCGCUGAAGGAGGAAAGGCAAGAGGAAAACACUCUCGGGGGAGGUUGUUAAAUGUCGCCUCUUUCACACCAGAGCAGCAGAGGCUGGAGGCAAGUUGCUGUCGCUGAGGAGGGGCUCUGGUUCUCCCAAUCUGUACCCUGCCAGCUCUGCUGGCAACCGGCGUCAGUGGCCGGCCACGGUCUGUCCCGUGAGCCGAGCAAUCGCUGCCUUUGGACGGCCACAGGACCACGAGGAUGGAGCUGUGUGUAAGCCUGGAUUGACCUGCAGCAGCAGAAAAUGUCGAGCAACCACCGAUCUCCCUGAAAGGAGUAAAACCAUUAGAAAAUCCACGAGGAAACCCGAGUGGGUUGUGAACACCUGGGCCUUGUGGCUGGAAACACGGGGAGCUCUGGGAGGACCCUGACAGCUCUGGUGGGGGUGCGGGGGGUGUUGU
rnacentral:lncRNA from 1 species